GUGUGAGUGUGUGUGAGUGCGAGUGCGCGCGCGGGGCCGGGCUCAGGGCACGGGCGUCGCCUGGCACUACGCGUGGCCCCGUCUCGGGUCGGCUCGGCCCAGGGCAGGGGCGCGCUGGCGGAAGGAGCCGCGCGGCCGGCGGAGAACUUUCUUCCUUUUCCCUUCGUUCUCCUUCUUGGGCUCGCGCCUAGGCCCUGGACACUCUCCCGGAGAGAAGCCGGGAGACCCGGCUGCGGCCUCCAGCAGCCAGCGCCGGCUGCAAGCGACCGCGGGGCCACAGUGCGCGAGAGGAAAGGGGUCUAGACCGUGCGGGGUGGAGAGCUGGGACGCACCUGACAGCCCCUUUCUCCGCCCUGACUUACGGCCCCAGCGCUCACAGCCGCUGCUCUUUUAAGAGAAUGGGGCAGGUGCAGGUUUGGUUGCUGCUGUUUUAGCCGCUCCAAGGAAAUUGGUGUAAGAUUGAUUUCCUAAGCGAAUGCGUGCGCGUUUCCAGCAACACAGGGCAACCUUUCUCGCCCCCAAAGCCGGUGAAAUUAAACAGACUUCCUUAUGAAAAGGCCGUUGGGGACCCUAGGGCGUCAGAUGAGUCAACUAAUUUUAAAAUAACUGUUAAACGGGUGGUUAGGGAGCGCACUUUCUCUCCACUACCAAGUUCACCUCUUCUUCCACCCCCUCUAAAACAAGUGACUUGACGAUAAGUGAUCCUGUCCCCUAGUCCUCUCCUUAAUGCCAGUCUGGAAGCGCACUUAAUGCAUGUCUUGGAGAAGGGAUGCGUCUCCUCGCCCUCGAGAACCAGCGCGGAGACCUUCUUUUGUGCCUCUGCUUGGCUGUGAACUUUCCCGCGCGGUAGGUUCUCCUUUAAGAAAGUAGCGUCCCUAUGAAUAUUUAAUGCUGUGCGCGGGCCGGCGGGGCGGAGGGGAGCCCACGGCCAGGGUUUCCGCGCGCGCAGAGACCCUGACGCAGAGCGAGCGCUUCCCCACUAGCCUGGCCGCCGCGGGAACUCGGGGACGAGGAGGGCGGAGGUUAGCUGGAGGAAAGGGCCAGCAGAAGGGGGGCUGGGGACGGGAGCCCGGCUCGGGGCCGUCGCGUUCAUUUCCAUAAGAAAGCUGAAAUCGCAGUUGGAAGCAGGAUUUCUCGCCCCCGCAGCCCUUCCCCCAUACCCGGUUUACUGCAAGAAGUGGGCUGCGGAGCUCAGAGCCCGAAGUGUGUGCUCUGGUCUUUGAUGAUGUUGAUAAAAUGUGGUUUCAAAUGUUGUCCCGAAGAGGCCGGUUUCCUGCCUGUGUGUGGAAUGGAAGGACCGCGCUGGGGCACCACGAGGCACCCUGAGAACUCAGAGGACCCAGAGGCUCCCCUCAAACAAAUUCCCUGCUGACUCUGGACACCCCUUGAAAGAGGGAGCAAGAGGCUGCCACAAGGGUUGGCUUAUAACUCCCAGCAAAGACUCCCAGCAAACAAGUUCCAUUUGGGCUCUGCCUACCACUAAGCCUGGUUGUAGGGGAGGCAAGGCCCCUGAACAGCGCAAAGAUAAUCAGUUGUUCCCCUUUCUGGAGUCAGAAGCAAAGAAACCUGAAGGGCUGGCAGUGGUGCUGGCUCUGGGUUUAUUGACUCUGUGAUCCUGUCCAGCUGUCCUGCGGGGAAUUCCAGAGUGCUCCUAAAGUGCAUGGGGAAACUGCAGAAGCAGGACUGGGGCACAGUACCAGAAGCUAUUUGUCUCUUAGAACCUGGCAUCCCCUCCACUUACCUUACAGGAGACCCACAUCACUCAGGUCUCAGGACACCUGGUGGGAGAAACUGGUGACAGUUGAAGGCAGGUUUCCUCUACUUACAACUUGUUUGAAAAUGGACAUAAAGAGGAGAACAGACACUCCGUCGCCCAUACAGGGCCUCCAUUGUGUCAGAAAACCUAUCCCCUCCUAGGGCACCUUUGACACUCCCCUAGUUGGGCCUACAUAUUGUUCAGGACCUGUCCCCUGUACCCAAAUAAAUAUAAAUGAGUUCAUUUCUUUAAAAGAAAUAUUACCAGGCUUAUAAGAGCCAUGCUAGUGAAAGGAAAAAAAAAAAAAAAAAGAAAACAGAAGAAAAUUUUUAAAAAAAGUAAAAAAGAAAAGAAAUAUUACAGCUUUAAACUUUUCCCAGCCAGAAUCCACCUAAUUUCAUCAAGGUUUCUUGCUAGGAGCCAUAACCCCCUCCCCACCUGUUUUCCCUUCUUUUUUUGUGGUUUAAAAUUGCAUUUUAGGAGGGUUGAUAUAAUGUUGUUCAUGUCAGCAAGUCUCCCUGCCCCACCCUCACCCUGCUGCCCUAUAUGGAAUUAUAGUUGGAAACUACACACACACAUAGAAAAUCUUUUAAGAUUUUUUUUCUGCUAUUCUUCCUGACUAGAAGAGUUGACAAGACAUAGACACAUUAAGUUGCAUAAAAUACAGUAGCGUGAUCAGCCUAAAUGCAUCUCAUUUGCACUGUUUGUAGCCAGGGGUGGGGGCUUGUGUCACUCAUUGCCUCCCCCUCCUCCUCCUAGGGCAGAUCAGCCGGCUGGAAUUUCCGAGCAGGCCCCAAGGCAGCAGCCAUUUGGGAGGUGGAAGGCCCAGCCUACCCCAGGCCAGCGGGGGUGGGAGGGUGGAUAGGGAAUGUGUCUGGAGGUCUGGCCUGAGGGCUUGAACCAGCUUUGGCAGACCUGGGCUCUGGGAGGCUUGGCGGGUGGGUGCCCGCAGGUGGAAGCUGGAGGUCUGCAGCGAUGCUUCUGAGCUUCUCUUGAGUUGAGUUCAAGAAAGGUGACACCAAGAAGUAGGGGAAUAGUCACUGACUAUAUUUUACAUCCACGUCUACCCUUUCUCGUCCACUUUGUCGGUGGAAGAGAAACACUUCUGCCUGAUGGGUUUCUGCACCUGCUCCUAGCCCUGAACUCGGGCCCUGAGCUUCUCACUGCCGCCUGCUCUGCUCUGAGCCCCACUCCUGAGCCCGGGAGGUGCCGGAGCAGCGCCUCUCCCGCAACUCCGAGAGGCCCGUGGGAGCGGCGCCGGAGCCUUCGAAACCCCGUAGGGGUGUGGGGGUGAAGUUGGGGAUCAUCCGGGCGAUUUUUUCUUACUAUAUCCCAAUCACUCUCCCGCGUUGAUGUCAACUCUCCCAGUCUCCCGGUGUUGGGGCGCCAAUCCUUUCCCUCCAAUUGCUACCCAUCAGUUGGAGGUCGGGUCCCAGGGUUGCCCCAGGGUUCAAUGGCAGCGGGGGGCGCCGGGUAGAGGGGCGGGAGGACCUGGGUCUUCGGGGACUAAAGGGGACCUCAGCGGGGCGGAGUGCAAAGCCUUGGCCGUUGGGAAAUGCCCCACUAGCCACUGUGAGUGCCCAACAGCGUGUCGUGGGGGCGUCCGUUCUGCAGCUCGGGUGACUCAGAUGCCCCGCCAGCCCCGCCAGCUCCCCGCUUCUCGAACGCUCUUCUGCUUGCCCAGCGGGGAGACUUCAGGGCCUGCCUCGUCAGGCCAGAUUGCUGCCUGCGACCUUCCCGAGCCAACCAAGGGCGAGGCAUGUUGCCCAACAAGGCCACCGCCUGACCGAGCCUCCCGGGGAACAGCCAUUGCCAAAGCCCCGCGGGCCCAGGCGCGGCCACCUACCAGUACCCGCGCAGGCCUGUGGGAGCUCACGGGCAGAGGCCGAGAGGCUGGACUGCCAGCACCACACCGCUGACAGCCGGGCACAUCUGCGGAGCCCGGGGGAACAAUCAGCGGGCACGGCGUCCUGGGAGCUGGGGACACGCCUGCAAGGAUUGGGGCGAUGCUGUCCUGGAAGAACAGGCUUUCUGAAUGUGACCUCGGGUUGCUGCAGCGGCGCCAUACUGCUACAGAUGAUGGAGUAGCUCGCCUGCCACGGGCAACCAGUCCCAGUAGUCUUGGGUACCACUGCCCCCACCAUAUCAUCAUUGUAAAGGAUGGACUCCUGCUGAGCCAAGGUGCAGCUCUAGGCAGGAUCUCUGAAGGAUGCUCUGGCACACAGAGGGUGGAGGGCUUUCCGCCUGCACACAGUCAUUUGGAGAAAAUCAAGUGGCACACCUCUCCCCACAGAGGAUUCUGUGUGUUAUGUAACACACUUACACUGGAAUUCCUCAAGUUACCAUUUUGCCCCAAAUCAGCCAGGACCUGGUUUUCUGGCGGGGGUGUCAGGAUGAUGCAAAUGGAGGUGGAAGCUUCAUUCCCUGGGGGCUUUUAUUCCCCUCCUUGAAGCCCCAGUUCAAGGCCCAGGAACAAAGGGUAAAGGUAACUGAUCUCUCUUUUGGUCUUCCUCUCCCCUCACUUCUACCCCCUCAUCUUCAAACCCUCCUCUUUGAUAAAUAGAGGAAAACCAGUGGGAUCAGGUACGUAUGUAAAUACUACUGACCUCAACCUCCCCUUCUCACUGAAAAGCGGAAAGCCUGGUUCAGGUACAGGCUGCUCCCUGCCUUCGAGUGUCCACCACUUCUACUCCCCCAGACAUCGUGAGACUCAAGGCUACUCACUUAACAUCCCUCUCUUGUUAAAAACUUUCAGGACAACUCUUAAAUAGUUCUUGGAAGAGUUAAAGACCUUCUUUCAGGAGUGAAACGUUUUUAAAGCCUUGCUUGGCAGAAAUCAUUAAGGCAUACAAAGUAGAAUCAGUAGGCUUGCCUGAGCAAUUUUGAAAUUUGAAAGAUUGCUCCCCAUGAAAUGUUAAUUUAAAAUAGUUUGUAGAUGUUAUUUUGUUCUAUGAUGGCUUUUUCACUAUUGUCACCUAAAGAUUCUCAAGACCAAGCUACUAAGACAUUUCUUUUGAUUUGGUUAGUUUCUGGGUGAUACUAUACUUUCUGAUUAGACUUAUUUAAUUAAUUUUUUUUUAACUCUACAGGACAGUUUUCAACCUUGAAAAUGUAAGUGAAACACAGACUGGCCCUCCCUCUGAGACCCUGUUAGGGGCAGAAAGGAACAAAUCUAGCUAGCCUCACUCACACCUCAAAGUUUCCCUGUCUGAACCUGGGUAUGGUAAGCAUGGUGGGUUUUGACGUCUUUUAUUUUAUUGCUAGCUCAAGGAAAAUUCUUUGAAAUGACUAUUCUAUUUCAGUGUGCAGUGUUCCAGCCAACUAAAUGGGCUUGCCUUAUGCCGAGAGGCAGUCCUGGAGGACAGAGCUAAUAUGUGAUCUCGCAGGAAGCUCAUCAGAACACCUCUUGUCCCUUUUCUUAAAAAAAAAAAAAAAAAUUAAAAAGGUUUUGCUUCCCUCU